UUUGAAGAUCUGAUGCACAAACUCAGGGCAAUGCUGGUUCCCAACUGGAACUGUGGACCUCAGUGGUGUUGAACAAUCGGGAAAAGAAACAUAAAAUGGAAAGGUCUCCACCAGUCAACCGUAAGAAACAGUGAUGACUAUGAUGUAGCCUUCAGCAUGGGGAAGUACCAAUGCCUGCAUUCUAUGCUACCAGCAGCAGCUGCCCUAGCUUCUUUACCACAUCAACGUUUUCAUACACAUUAUCUCACAAUUUGUCUGCUAAGACUUCAGCUGUAAUUUAUGAAGCACUGAAGGGACUACAUCCAUCCGAGUGAUAGAAACUCCAGGCUGAAGCUGUUCAAGC